UCCCACAUCAUCAUGCACUACCCCUGGGACAUGUCAGCUCUUCAUUUUUGACUUCUUAUGUAGCUUUCCUUUCCAAGAGUUGUUCUCUUCUUUCCUUUAGGCUUUGAAAGCUGUGGUGGAGGACAAAAAUAAGGAAUCCAAGGAGAAAGCCAAAGCCUUGGUGUUGAAGGUGUCUGCUGUUAGCUUAACAUCAGAUAUGUGGACCUCUAUCAACUCGCAUGCAUAUCUAGCUGUGACGUGUCAUAUUAUAGAUGCAAGCACCUCUUUGCAUUCUGUUGUUUUUGGGGUGCUGCAUUUCCCUGAGGCACAUACUGCUGAAAAUAAAGUAAAAGCAGCGCUUAUGUCACAGUGGGGUAUUACACACAAAGUUAUUUGCCUUGUGGCUGAUGGUGCAGCAAAUAUGGGUGCUUGUGCCAAGGAGCUUAAUUUGCGUCACACAAACUGUGUGGCGCAUACUUUAAAUUUACUUAAGGCUCUUGACCAAAACACUGUUGUCUGUCAUCUGGGUAAACUCUAGGAAGACAGUGGGCUAUUUCAGGAGCAGCACCACUGCAAAGGAGAGGCUGACACAGGUGCAGGAGCAAAUGGGCCAGCCGGCACUGAAACUAAUUCAAGAGGUGGAUACACGCUGGAACAGCACAUACCAUAUGCUCCAAAGUAUUUAUGACCUCAAGGAACCUGUAGGAGCAGCUUUGGCAGGCCUUCACACUGACGUUGCCCCGCUCUUAUCAGAACAGUAAAACAUUAUUGCAAAAUGUCUAAACGUCCCAUUUAAUAAUGGUUCAGUUGAGCUGUCAGAGGAGAAGAGUGUCUGGAUCAAAAGUCAUUCCCCUUUCAUCAAUGCUACACCAUGCACUGGAGGAGGAAAUGGGAAUCCUCCAAACUCCAGAGAGCAAAGCAAUGGCCCCCUCAAUGGUCCGCUCAACGGUCUGAGGAGACCGUUGAGGGAGAAGCUAUACACACUGCAAUCAAUAAGCAUCAUGUCACUGGCAAAACUGCUUGAUCCCAGGUUUAAAAAGAUAGGGUUCUUUAGCCCCAAUAAAGCAGCAGAGGCCGAGAAGAGACUCUCUGCUGAAUGUGCUGCUGUUAUUCAAAACAGCCCGUCCUCCUCGUCGUCUUCACAUAUCAGAAGCUUCUCAGCCUUUGACUCAAGGUAGCAAACUAUGGCAUUAUUUGGACACCAGUCCUGCAGACGAGAACCAAAAAUGCCACUGCAAAUGCAACAGUGGAGGUCCAAAUGUACCUGGGUGAACCAAACAUCGGAAGAUUGGAGAACCCCCUAGAGUAUUGGGAAAGACAAAAAAAUGUAUAUCCCCAUGUAUAUUGUAUCAACUUGCUGUUGCUUUUCUCUGUACCCCAGCUUGUAUGCAAAGAACAUGAAUAAAGUUUGACUGUGUUUAACUUUGA